rnacentral:rRNA from 1 species
AGGGUUCGAUUCUGGCUCAGGAUGAACGCUGGCGGCGUGCUUAACACAUGCAAGUCGAACGGGAUCCAUCAGGCUUUGCUUGGUGGUGAGAGUGGCGAACGGGUGAGUAAUGCGUGACCGACCUGCCCCAUACACCGGAAUAGCUCCUGGAAACGGGUGGUAAUGCCGGAUGCUCCGACUCCUCGCAUGGGGUGUCGGGAAAGAUUUCAUCGGUAUGGGAUGGGGUCGCGUCCUAUCAGGUAGUCGGCGGGGUAACGGCCCACCGAGCCUACGACGGGUAGCCGGCCUGAGAGGGCGACCGGCCACAUUGGGACUGAGAUACGGCCCAGACUCCUACGGGAGGCAGCAGUGGGGAAUAUUGCACAAUGGGCGCAAGCCUGAUGCAGCGACGCCGCGUGCGGGAUGACGGCCUUCGGGUUGUAAACCGCUUUUGAUCGGGAGCAAGCCUUCGGGUGAGUGUACCUUUCGAAUAAGCACCGGCUAACUACGUGCCAGCAGCCGCGGUAAUACGUAGGGUGCAAGCGUUAUCCGGAAUUAUUGGGCGUAAAGGGCUCGUAGGCGGUUCGUCGCGUCCGGUGUGAAAGUCCAUCGCUUAACGGUGGAUCUGCGCCGGGUACGGGCGGGCUGGAGUGCGGUAGGGGAGACUGGAAUUCCCGGUGUAACGGUGGAAUGUGUAGAUAUCGGGAAGAACACCAAUGGCGAAGGCAGGUCUCUGGGCCGUUACUGACGCUGAGGAGCGAAAGCGUGGGGAGCGAACAGGAUUAGAUACCCUGGUAGUCCACGCCGUAAACGGUGGAUGCUGGAUGUGGGGCCCGUUCCACGGGUUCCGUGUCGGAGCUAACGCGUUAAGCAUCCCGCCUGGGGAGUACGGCCGCAAGGCUAAAACUCAAAGAAAUUGACGGGGGCCCGCACAAGCGGCGGAGCAUGCGGAUUAAUUCGAUGCAACGCGAAGAACCUUACCUGGGCUUGACAUGUUCCCGACAGCCGUAGAGAUAUGGCCUCCCUUCGGGGCGGGUUCACAGGUGGUGCAUGGUCGUCGUCAGCUCGUGUCGUGAGAUGUUGGGUUAAGUCCCGCAACGAGCGCAACCCUCGCCCUGUGUUGCCAGCACGUCAUGGUGGGAACUCACGGGGGACCGCCGGGGUCAACUCGGAGGAAGGUGGGGAUGACGUCAGAUCAUCAUGCCCCUUACGUCCAGGGCUUCACGCAUGCUACAAUGGCCGGUACAACGGGAUGCGAC